UACGGAGGAUUCGAGCGUUAUCCGGAUUUAUUGGGUUUAAAGGGAGCGUAGGCGGGUUGUUGAGUCAGUUGUGAAAGUUUGCGGCUCAACCGUAAAAUUGCAGUUGAUACUGGCAUCCUUGAGUACAGUAGAGGUAGGCGGAAUUCGUGGUGUAGCGGUGAAAUGCUUAGAUAUCACGAAGAACUCCGAUUGCGAAGGCAGCCUGCUGGACUGUAACUGACGCUGAUGCUCGAAAGUGUGGGUAUCAAACAGG
rnacentral:rRNA from 1 species